rnacentral:rRNA from 1 species
UACGUAGGGGGCAAGCGUUGUCCGGAAUUAUUGGGCGUAAAGAGCGCGUAGGCGGUCCGAUAAGUCGGCUGUGAAAGUCCGGGGCUCAACUCCGGAUCUGCGGUGGGUACGGGCAGACUAGAGUGAUGUAGGGGAGACUGGAAUUCCUGGUGUAGCGGUGAAAUGCGCAGAUAUCAGGAGGAACACCGAUGGCGAAGGCAGGUCUCUGGGCAUUAACUGACGCUGAGGAGCGAAAGCAUGGGGAGCGAACAGG